UUUCUAGCCUGGUGUUUUGUUCCACCUUUGCCCCCUUAGUUUCGGCUACCGGUGUUAUGUUUCAUAAUUGAGCGCUCCUAACACGAUCGGGGUUGUUAUGGGGACCCCCUUGAUAAUUCGUUUUAGAUUAAAGCUGGUCUGGCAAGGCCCAACAUUGGUACUAUUUGCCCAACAUAAUAAUUUGAUAAUACUGAAAUGCAUAGGGAGUUAGCGCUACCCGAGGAGUAAUUCUACAUAAUACAGGGAGGGCCAGUGCUGAUGGUGCUGGUCCAAAAC
rnacentral:lncRNA from 1 species